rnacentral:ncRNA from 1 species
GUUUGGUCCCAGCCUUGAAAUCAGUUAUUAUUUAAUAUACACAUGCAAGUCUCCGCACCCCUGUGAAAACGCCCUUAUUCUCCCCAAUAGGGAGCAGGAGCUGGUAUCAGGCACAAAUUUUUGCCCAUAACACCUAGCAUCGCCACACCCACAAGGGACUUCAGCAGUGAUUAACAUUGAGCAUAAGCGAUAGCUUGACUCAGUUAAACUAAACAGAGCCGGCAAAUCUGGUGCCAGCCGCCGCGGUUACACCACUGUGGCUCAAAUUGAUUUCUAUCGGCGUAAAGCGUGAUUAAAGAUUAAUCUUUUGGAGUUAAACUAAAAUUAAGCUGUGACACGCUUAUUACCUAAGAAAAUCAUAAACGAAAGCUACUCCAAUUCCACCAACUUGAAUUCACGACAACUGAGAGACAAACUGGGAUUAGAUACCCCACUAUGCUCAGUCGUAAACUUUAACUUACAUUCUCCCCUCGCCAGGGAACUACGAGCUAAGCUUAAAACCCAAAGGACUUGACGGUACCCCAUAUCCCCCUAGAGGAGCCUGUCCUAUAAUCGAUAACCCCCGUUUUACCUCACCAUUUUUUGUUAAUCAGCCUGUAUACCUCCGUCGUCAGCUUACCACGUGAGCGUGUGAGCUAAAUGUUUAUUCAACCACACGUCAGGUCAAGGUGCAGCAAAUAAAAUGGAAAGAGAUGGGCUACACUCUCUAUCCUAGAGCAAACAAAAGACUAAAUGAAACCCGGUCAGAAGGCGGAUUUAGCAGUAAAAUGAAAUUAGAGCGUUCAUUUAAACGUGGCACUGGGGUGUGUACACACCGCCCGUCACCCUCCUCAAUGCUUCAAAACAGUAUAUUACACUUUUUAGCUCCACAGAAGAGGCAAGUCGUAACAUGGUAAGUAUACCGGAAGGUAUGCUUGGAAU